rnacentral:tRNA from 1 species
GGAGAUAUAGUUCAGUGGUAGAAUAUGUGUUUAACACACUCAAGGACCUGGGUUCAAUUCUCAAUACCA